UCUUAAAUACUUGGAAUAUGUGAGGUUAAGAACAUAUCUAAAUAAUUUCAAAUAGUCUAUAACCUCUGUGGCAGGCCGUGAAAGCUGCUUUCAGAUCAGAACAUACAUUUGAUGAAAUGAAGCAUGGCUACAGGACGUGCAGGCAGGCAAAACCGCUUUGAAACCAAACUUUUGAGUACGAGUAUGAAGAUAAACUCUGGAAGUUAUGGAAGGACUUGAAGGAGCCUAAACCGAAAGUGUAAGAAAGCUGCUCUACACUGCCUGGUACGGCAACUGCACCGCCCAUAACAGCAGGGCUCUCCA